CGCACGUCACUGGACGGCACUGCAGAAGCAGGCGAGUUCGCGAGUGUAUCGAUUUUGCGAUCGUGUCUCUCGCGACUAGUGUGUCCGUUUCCUUUAGUUUUUAGUGGCCGUGCUCGUCGUACAUGGAUGAAAUCGUGAAUGGGAUUACCCGCUAGGUUAAUUGCACCGUACAUCCGCUGACUCGCAACGCCUCGUCACCCAUCAGCAUGACCAAGGAUAGAUUAGCAGCUUUAGUCGCGGCCCAGUCGGACGACGAUGACGUGGCGGACGAAGUGUCCGUCAAUGUCGGCGGGCCGGAUGACUUCAUGACGGAGUUUUUUGCGGAGGUGGAGGAGAUACGUGAAAUGAUAGAUAGAAUCCAGACGAACGUCGAGGAUGUCAAGAAGAAACACAGCGCCAUUUUAUCGGCGCCACAAACGGACGAGAAGGUCAAAAUGGAGUUGGAAGACUUGAUGUCCGACAUCAAGAAAACUGCUAACAAAGUCAGGGCUAAGUUAAAGGUGAUAGAACAGAAUAUCGAGCAGGAAGAGCACACGAACAAAUCAUCGGCGGAUCUGAGGAUACGCAAGACUCAACAUUCAACAUUGUCUAGGAAGUUCGUAGAGGUGAUGUCGGAAUACAAUCGAACACAAACCGAUUAUAGAGAACGGUGUAAGGGAAGAAUACAACGACAGCUCGAGAUCACGGGGAGGACGACCACUAACGACGAACUCGAAGAAAUGCUGGAGCAAGGAAAUCCAGCAGUCUUUACGCAAGGGAUCAUCAUGGAAACGCAACAAGCAAAACAAACCCUUGCGGACAUCGAGGCACGUCACGCUGAUAUUAUAAAACUCGAAAAUUCGAUCAGGGAAUUGCAUGACAUGUUUAUGGACAUGGCUAUGCUAGUAGAAAGUCAGGGUGAGAUGAUAGAUCGUAUAGAAUAUCACGUGGAACAUGCGGUCGACUAUGUCCAAACGGCCACGCAGGACACCAAAAAAGCACUCAAGUAUCAAAGCAAAGCUCGACGGGCCACCGAACACGACGAAUCACAUCCUCAGGAAGCUCGCCUGCCGACGAACCCAGACGCGAUCUAUUCUUUCAGGUGCCUCGGGCAGUGCUAUUUUUGUUCAUUUUUACGGCAACAGAGAAAGACAAAGAAAGGGGAAACGUUUCAGCGUAGUGUUAAACAGGAAAUAAAAAUAAAAAUAAAAAAUAUAUAGUAAUAAUGGACAGAGGCGUUUACAAUUCUAAGCACACCUGUGAGAAAUUUGCAAAGUAAAACGAAACAAAAGAACAGAGAUAAGAAACAAAUAAAAAAAGAAAAACUUUGGUAGUCGUCAGGGCCAAGGAUAUAUAUAUAUAUAAUAUAUAUGUAUAUACAUAUAUAUAUAUAUAUAUAAAUAAUUUGGGAAAAAAUACGUAUGUGAGGGUAGGAGAAAAAGAAAAAGAAAGAGAGAGAGAUAAUUAAGAGAUAUAGGAAAGUUGGAGUGUACAUUGUAAUCGAUAAUCCGAUUUUUGCUGACCCGCUAACACCCGCCGAGUGCAGAAGAAGAUCAUGAUCAUGAUCUGCCUCGCCAUACUUUGCGUCGUCCUGGCAACUACCAUCGGUGGAUACUUCGGCCUGUGAACAUCAGAAGCAGGAAGGUACGAAGGAGACAAAGGCGAACGUCCGGCACUGUAUAUCUAAGUUGACGCGCCGGCAGCAGUCAUACUUCAUGCAUAUCGCCCCGACAACAAACGAACACACAAGACAGACCGUCAAGAAAGCAAUUUCAAGUUCUGGUCAUCGCUAAAAAAGCUCUCUCAUCUUAUCCAAAAACACGAGUUCUUCGUUCGAGUCGACGUUCGGUAAAUAGAGGGUGAAUGAAUCGGAAGAAAAGAAGAGAGGAGGGUGAAAAGUAGGAAAAAGGGAAGGAUGCGCAGUUAUUUUGAAGAGGGUCGUCGCCAUCAUCAUUAUCAUCGCUGCUAUCACACAUCAUCAUCAACAAGCAUACCUUUUUACGUCAAGCUUCGAGCUAGUUGCAUUCUGUCUAAGAGAACGAAAAAAAAUCGCCUGUUUUCUAUUAAAAAGUUCUUAGAAAAAGAAUAGCGAGAGAGAGAGAGAGUUCAACACACUUAUCCUGCGACGAGCGGCGAAAACGUAAUGUUGUAUCGCGAUCUGUCUUGUCUCAUCCCGAGGAAGAGAAGCUAAAAAGAGAUGAAAAAAAAUUAAGAAGAUUGCGGUGAAAUUUAUCUAAGAGAGAAACACAGACAGAGAGAAAUUAAAGGAACGAGGAGGGGCGGUGUAUUGAUGAGAUGUAAAAAAGGGGGAAAGUUUUAACAUUCGUUUCUCGGCGCUCCUACGAUUUUCUAGAUCGAGAUAUCGUUCGUAGAUCAUCGUAGGAGCGACGGAUCGUAAGACUAGUCAAUCGUAGCAUUUUAUUGAAAAACAACCAAAAAAGAGACUAAAGAAAUCUGUCGAGCCCCGACACCCAAUGGAGUUUUUCUGUAACGCGAAAUACAUGCCUCUAUCUUCGCCACUACUUGCUAUUGCAGAACAUUUUCUUCCUCAAUAUUUGAAAAAAAGAUAAGGAAAAAAAAUAAAGGAAAGAUAAAGAAAAAAAGAGGCAGUCGCCCGGUCGGUCUGUACGUUGCGACGCGAAUAUUUUUCAUUAUCUGUGAUUUAAAUAACGAAAAUAGUAAAAUAAAUCUAAAAAAAAAAGAAAAAAGAGAAAAAACAAAUAAAAAAACGAAAAAGACAGGACUUGGGAAUUAGUUCUCCGUAGAAGUCACAUUCUGAGUCACAUACGGCAAGAUUUUCUAUUCGUAUUUUCUAGAUUUUUAACUUCUCCCACUUUGAACUUCGACCUUAUUAUCACGUAUCCAUCCCUCACUUUUUGACGUGCACUUAACAUAUCAAAGAAGAUUGAAAAAAUACCGAAUUCUAAUUGAACUUACUCGCGCUUAACGCGUUAGUCUUUUUAUUUUUCUUUUCCAUAUUUUUUCUUCUUUUCUUUGACACGUCGACCCUAUCGCGUGUGGUUAAUUGUAAACGAAUUUCCGUGCUGUCGAUAGCAGAAGAAAAAGAGAAAGAAAGAAAGAGGAAAUCGUUAUGGAUCUUGAUACAUUAUCGUGUAAAGUACACAAGAGCCAAUUUAGACGAUACUCAUAAAUUUUUUAAUUCGUUUUAACGUUCUUUGUCGUUUCUACCCCGUGUUUCAAAGCGACGAUAAUUCGAUGAUUAAGAGACGUCAAGACCAAUAGGUGUUCAGAGAAAAAAGGAUACAAUCAAUUCUUCCGAUAUAUUUAAUCGAUUAGCAUGCGUAGUCGGUUAACUUAAAAAAAAAAACUAAAAAAUAAAUAAAUAAAUAAAGAAGAAUAAGAAUGACGAGACUUAGAUAAAAAAGAGAUAGAGAGAAGGAGAAAGAGGAUAUAGUCGCGCUCUUAAAAGCAUAACGAUUCUAGAAUGUGGCCGAUAUCCUUGUGAACGAAUUUCCAAGUGUGCGAUUAUAGUUUCCGAACGAGAAGAGCUAUACUUAGAUUAAUUAUACAUAUAAUUAUUACUUAUCUACUUAAAAAAAAAAAAGAGGAAAAGAAACAUGUAUGCAUUGUUUCUCUCCUUUGUUUUUCCUUUUUCUUUUCUUCGUUAAACUCGUAUAAGAUAUUGGUUAGUCAAUUUUAAUCUACACACUAUCGUAAAAAGUAACGAAAAAAAGUGAUUUAUGUUUGACCAUUUCGUGUUGCACAAAACGCCAUUAGGGUAUUGGGACUGUCUGCUAAGGGAUCGAAUGAACGCGAUCGUCCUUCAAGAACGAUGAUUUUUCGCAUUUCCAAAAAUUCUGAUCUGUUCUUUGGAAAAAAAAGAAAAAGAAAAAAAUGAUAACGAUAACAAACAAAGGAAAAAACCCACUUGCAACCUUCUUUUCGCAACGCCGUUUUAGACAACAUCGUUUUGCUAGCUUCUCUCUUCGAAUCACCUAGUUAUUAUUAUACAUAUAUACAUACAUACACACCUGUACGUACUGCAUUCCAAACAAACGCUCUCAAAUUCGCAUUUAGAAAAGGGCGCUUGUGUAAUACGGCUAAGACUGCUAUUGUUCGUGUUUUUCGUUUCCUGCGUAGAAGAUUAGAUCGCCAUUGCAGAAUCUCUUUAGCUAGUAAAAGAUAAAAAAUGAAAGAAAGAAAGAAAGCUUUUAAUUUUCCUCUCAUUCUUUUUUCUACGGGAAACAAAAAGUAAAUAUACGUAUAUAUAUUAUAAAAUACAUAUAUAUAUAUUAUGUUAUAUAUAUAUAUAUAUUAAAAAUAGUUUACGUUGUUGAAAGUAUUACUAGGAGUAAAUUUUAAUGAAGGGCGCCCGAGCCAUGUCGUUCAUCGUGAACUCUAUCGUUUAAUUAUCAUUCCGUUUUACAGCUAAGUGCAUGGAUGUUGCGUGCGUUACCAUCGCGUACACGGCUAAAUAAGAAAGACGACGAUAAAAAAAUCGAAAGAAAUGAGAAAUAACGAGUUUCGCGUGAAAACUCUAAAGAAAAAUUAGAUUAUCGUGUCGAGCCUUAAAUCAUCGAGCUCCGAAAGGAGAAAGAAAAAAGAACAAGAAAUAAACUCUUAUUGGCAGUCACUCAUUCGUCAUUUCGAUCGCGAGACUCUUAGAUGCGACGGCGACAAUUACAGUAUAACACAAUCGAAAAAAUAAAAAUAAAAAUAAAUGUGAAAUAAAUAAAUAAAUAAAUAAAUAAUAUAAAAAAAAUAGAAAAAAAAGAGAGAAAAUGCGAAAGGUCCAUCGGUUCUUCUUUCUGUCAAUCCCGAAGUGGACUCUCUUACUGUAAAAAAAGAAAAGAUGGCAUUAAGCUGCAGCAAUAAUAAUACAAAUAUAGGUAUUACGAAAGAAGUUUAGACAAAUAAAAAAGAAAAAGAGAGACGAGGGGAGAAAGAGGGAGAGAGAGAGAGAAAGAGACAGGAAAAAAAAGAAGGAAACAAUUUAACUCAAGGUAAUUCCAUUGACGAGCUGUAUUUUAACUUUUCGUGCGUCGUACUACCGCAAAGAUGCAUAAUACGCGAUAUAUAAAUCGUACGUAAAGCAAAGUGUAUACAUACAUGCAUAUAAGUAUAGUUAGGUGGCACGAUCGCGAUGAAGAUAAUAUAUUAUAUUAUAUUAUAUUAUAUUAUAUUAUAUUAUAUUAUAUUAUAUUAUAUUAUAUUAUAUUAUAUUAUAUUAAAUAACAAUUAUCUCUCGCUAAAACGCCUGCUAUUCUCACUGGCGAAGUGAGUAAAUCACGACAAAGAAAUUAAAAAGAAAAAGAGAGAGAGUGAAAGAAAAAGAGGAAAAAAGGGUAGCAUAUACUUAUAGCGGCAAAAGGAAGAAGUACGGCGAGCGAGCGGCGUUAAUGUUAAUGUUUUGUUGAAUAUAUUAUAUGAACGUUGAAGUACAUACAUUCAGAAGAUUAUGGGUUAAUGUUUCAAAUGGUAUAAUGGCAAGCGAAUUAUGACAUACAUAUAUACAUAAAAUGCAGAAACGAUAUCGUGCGCGUUGCUGUAAUAAUGAUAAUAUUAACUAUAAACGAUAAUAAUAUUGAUUAUUAAACAGUGAAUAAUUGCUCUUAUUAAGAUCACACCUUGCAUUGUACAGAAAACAUAAUAAUUGUUAGUUAUUAGGUAGCCGCAUUAUAAUCUAUUUACCCAGUUAAUCCAAAUACGAGUAAACGAAACGGCAGAAAGAUGGAGAGAAAAAGAGAUUAGAAAGAUAUUAGAUAGAAAAGAGAGAGAGAAAUAGAAAGAGAAAGAGAGAGAGAGAGAGAGAGAGACCAGGCAAUCCCUUUGUCACGUACGAAAGAGAGAUAAAAGAAAGAGAAAGAGAAAAGAUCAGAAAAAUGCGACAGACCCGAUACAAAACUCGUUGUCCGAACGAUGCUCUCCGUUAUAUUGAUGACAUUAAUAACACAAUAAAAACAAAGGAUUUGGAACCUCGUUCGGUUCUAUCCUUUUAUUAAUAAUUAAGUAAUUCCUCGGAAUUCAGAUCCGAAAUAAAACGGUAUCAUGCUGACUUCCGACGAAAUACUGAAAAUAUUUCUUUAGUAUUACGACAAUUUUAUGAUUUUUCCUAUCGUCACGCAAGCGCGAUGCUUCGUCCGAAUUUUUAUAGAUCUUGCCAAUAAGACGAGCAACGAAAAGAAUUGAAUUUUUCUCUUACACGCGCUUUUAAGGAAUUAUUAAAACGAACAAAAAAGAAGAAAAACGAGGGAAAAAAAGAAAAAGAAAUGGUCAAUUUUUCGAUCGAUCGAAGUCUCUUUUUGAAGCGUCUCAUUGGCGAUGAUCUACUUCGAACAAGCUCUUUUCAUCGAUCUCUUUCAAGUUGAGAAAAUAGAAACAUACUUUUCUCGUUGGCAAUGUACACGUGUAUACGUGUAUAUAUAUAUAUACACACAUAUUAUUAUAUAUAUUAUAUAUAUAUACAUAUGUAUAUCGCCAAGGACGUCACUGACAUCCGACCGUCCUCUUCUCGAUCAUCAUCGUACAUAUAUACAUAAUUACGCCGAGUUAACUCGUCAUCGCUGCUCGAACGAGUCGACGAAUGGAUCCGUAUGAAUGAUUUGGAAUGCGUGAUGGAAAGAGAGGGUGAAGGAGAGAUAGAUAGAUAGAUUAGAUAGAUAAAGAGGACAGAGGAAGAAAUUAGUCGAUGAGAAGUUCAAAAGGACUCAUUCAAAUUUUCGACAGGUCGGCAAGUUCGAGAACAUUUCAUAAGCCUUAAAGAAGGAAGAAAAAAAAAAUUGAAAGAAAACUCGAGAUUAUAGCGCAGCGUGUAGCGGUCAUCUUCGUAUAAUAGGAAUUGAAAUGAUAUACGAUAUGCAUGUAUAUAUGCAUAAAUAUAUACAUAUAUACAUUCAUAUACAUAUAUAUAUAUUUAUUUAUUUCUUAUCGUUACAUAUUAUUAUAUAUAUAUAUAUAUAAAUAUAUGUAUUAUAUAAGUUUUACGAUGUAAACAUAGCAUCGAUCAUUAUUAUUAUCGAUACACUGGCGAUCGAUCGCGCAACGCACGGGUUUGGCCUAACAAUAAGAGAAAACGAGAGCUCGUCCUCGCGAUCGAUAUCUGUAUAAGCCACAAAGAGAAAAAGAAGGUCGAAAAGCCGAGAGGUCGAUCGAUAUUCAAAAUCCGAAGUCUGUAACGUCGUUAUAUUUAGCGCAUAGAAUUCAAAAGGACAUCCGCGCGUUCUCUCAUUCAUAAAGCGCGCGUAAACCUUUCCAAUUUGAAAUAAGAAAAAGGAAAAUAGGAGAACGAGUUCGUUUCGGGAAUAAAUGCAACGAAGAGAAGACCGGAAGAAGACCGACGACGUUGACGAUCAAAAGAUGACGGACGUUUUAAGCGUUGUUCAAUUUUAUCCGAAAUAAUAUCUUUCACAUUUGCAUUGAAUUUAUAAGAAAGUUUAUAUUUUCGCGCCAAAAGCCGAAUCGCACUUUCAACAGAUUUGAAAAAUUAUAUUAGUAAUUUAACGAGUCCUUUAAUCAUUUUAUUUCGUCGAUAAAAGUAUAUAUACAUAUAUAUCGGAAAUGUCGAUCUCUAGAAAACGCUGUUCAUCUAUUCGUUCGUCACGUAUGAGAAAUUUAAAGAAAAGAAGAGAAGUGACGCGGGAUUAAUUGAUACGGAAGAGAGAGAUCUUCAUGUACUUACAUCAGCCAUUUCCAGAUAUAUAAAUAAAAUAAAGGGGGUGAAUAAAAGAAUAAAUAGGUAAAUAAUUAAAUAGUCGCGCGUGUGGAAGAUGAAAGAAAGAAAGAGAGAAAAUGAAAGGAAAGUUAGAUUAGUGGAAAAGAGUUCAAUGUAUGUUCAUGAAUGUUCGUGAAUUGCGUGCGAAUGUCGAAUGAAUGGCAGUGAAAGAGAAAGAUCGAAAGGGUGUGUCGUGUAUAAGUAUGCAUGAGAAAGAAAGAGGGGGAGAGAGAGAGAGAGAGAGUCUAAGCAAGAUCGUGUCACGUUGGUGCAAUUAUUAUAUUGAGAGGCUAUUUCAAUAACCUUAUAAGUGUCAAUUCCACUUUCAAACGUAAAUCGUAAUUAAUGCGAAAAUAUUAACACACGUAGAGAAAAAAAAGGAAAAAAAGAGAACAAAUGAAGCGACAAACGACGAUAAGGAGAAAAAAAAAUAAAAAAAAAAAAUAAGAAAGUCGUAGACGACAAAGCGAGAG